GCGGGAAAAAACGGGAGCGCCGGUGUUUUUUCCUCAUGGAGGCACCGCCAAGACGAAACGCAGGGCACCGACCGCCCGGCCUGACACUAAUGAGUCAUGGUAGUUCAGGCAAGGAGAACAUCGGAGAGGAGACUGCCCAAGUGGAAGCCCAGAUGGACGUCCAGGGACGAGUCUCCUCUGCACCGCGUCCGGGGAGAUACGACGGAUGUCUCCAGCAACCGAGACUCCAAGGUGUCCGCUGGAUGGCACAGGCGCGAUAGAAUGUGUGACUUUUUUUUUUUUUUUUUUCUCCUCCUCUCGUCUCUUCUUCCUCAAGGUUGGUCCCCGUAUCGCCCAAGGAUAAGGACACUUAUCUCUCAAAAUUGCAGUCCUGAGAGACAUCGGCAGGUCGGCUGAGGCACGGAGCGGCUUCUCGUCCCGCUGCGCCUGUUUGAUAGACGAUGGCGGCGCGAGCACUUUGCUCUCCGUGUGGAAACACGUCACAGACUCCGGGGGCCGGUGGAGGCAAACAUGGGGCCCCCUGAUUAGGAACCAAUGACAGAACUACUGGCAGGGACAAAAAUGUUGGUGGUUUAUCGAAUGCACGUUUGUUUUCUACCUCUCAAAUGUGAGGAUGCGCCGCUUUUUCUCUGUCUGAUGUCGUCAAAUAUGCUAAAAAAGUUUCUUAUGGAGAUCUUGGAUGAUAAUGCUGUUCUUUUCCUGUUAACCAAAAGCGUCUUGGCUUCUCCUCCACAAAUGUUCAACCUGCAUCCAGGAACAAAGGUGCAGUGACUUUUCCUCUGCAGAAUCCAUUACAAAGCUCUUUAACUGGUGCUUCCAUGAACUAAGGAGCGUCGAUAAUAUUCUGUCUUUUCUCUCUUGUCCCCCAAAGUGUUUUAGAUGUUUUAAUAUCAUCCCAGAUUCCUGUAACGCACUGUAUUAAGAUAUAAAGCUCGGGUUGCUAAUGUUGACUAACUAGCGUACCGGAUCGCCGAAGUCGCUAAAGAAAAAAAAAGAAUCUGUUUAAUUUGCCCCUUUAUAAAUUGUUCCAUUUAUUAGUGGAGAACAAAGAACACAUGGAGUUAAUUGUCAUGUCUAAUCUUAAUUAGUCUGGAGUUCUGCCCACAUUCUCUAAGGCCACCCAACUAAACUCCGUCCACUAGAAUAAUGGAAAUACUCACUUGUGCUUCAACUAGUAGAUUCUGUCUUUACCUGCUGUCAUUUAUCACCAAUGCUCAUGUGUACGUGCGAC
ensembl:lncRNA